CUUAGCUUCAACAACAAGCACAAGCCUGAUCAACGAUUGCGAUUAAGCGACAGAAACAAUAUCUUCAACUAGCCAUGCUCAAGUUAUCCUUCGUUUUCGUAUUAGUUCUGGCACUGCUUGUCGCAAUGUUUGGGGCUCCGGCAACCUGCCAGUAUGUCUAUUCUGGAUACCCAUACGGGCAUGCCUAUGGUUACCCAUAUGCUGCAUACAGUAAUUAUGGCUACCUUCCAUACGGAUAUUACGCUUCACCGGCGUACCUUCUCAAGAAGUAGCGCCUCUUCUCAACGUUUGACAGCUACCAUGAUAUCCCGACGCUAACCAGCUCGAGAAUAGCUUGACGUCAAUGUUACUUACUUAUUGAUUCCCGCUACUUAAAAUGCUAAUGGUGCCCAACUUUCCUCGCAUCACAUAUUUUAAAAUGUACUGAUAAGCAAAUUUAACCAUUGAAAUAAACAAACAGGAUCAAACAUGUUA